rnacentral:lncRNA from 1 species
GAAUUCAAACAAACAAUGGUUGCUUUUACCUCUUUGAUAUAAAACCCCAGGAAGGCUCACCUACCUGAAUCACUUUUGUGAGUAAAAUCAUAUUUUCUGCUGCCAAACUGAUUAAAAUAAGUUACCAUGACACCAAUUCCUCAUUCCUGAAGAAGAUACGAGAUGACCAGCUGCAACUAAGCAAAUACUUUGCUCGCGUUCAGCCCAUAGGGUCUGAAUGCUGUUUUCCAGCUCCAGUCCAAACGAUUUGCACACCUGUUGAAGAGAAAGUAAAAUAUGACAGUGGUACAAACUCCGGGGGAUUAAAGCGAUUUUCACUGAGCUCUUAAAGCUGAGGAGGAGAAGGCACUCAGGGAAUGCUCCCCUCUUGGUGUUCUCCGUGUUCUCAUGGUGAGCAGUGUCAUAUACAACCAGUCUCUGAUUUGCUGUACUUCCCAGGCUGAACAUAUGCUGCAGAAUACCUUUGAUGUUGCCACAAUUGUGUGUGUGAUCUUCAAUCACGGAUGUCAUCAAAUUUUAUUAAACUUAAUGUAGAUAAAACC